UACGUAGGGUGCAAGCGUUAAUCGGAAUUACUGGGCGUAAAGCGUGCGCAGGCGGUUAUGUAAGACAGUUGUGAAAUCCCCGGGCUCAACCUGGGAAUUGCAUCUGUGACUGCAUAGCUAGAGUACGGUAGAGGGGAGUGUGAAUUCCGCGUGUAGCAGUGAAAUGCGUAGAUAUGCGGAGGAACACCGAUGGCGAAGGCAAUCCCCUGGACCUGUACUGACGCUCAUGCACG
rnacentral:rRNA from 1 species